UCGGCUCGUCGCGGCGCGGCGAUCGAAUCAACACCCAGACUCCCAAAGCCCGCCGCGCGCUCGCCCGCCCGGCUGCCGGUGGCCUGGCCAACCUCCGCCACUCUCGAGAUUCCUUCGCCGUCGGUUUCGAAUCCGGAAUCCCGCGCGCCGCUGCUCCGACCGGCCGGCCCCGUCGUCCGUCCCUUCCAUCCGUUCAGGAAUGGCUUAUGUAACAAACAUGCUUCACGAGGAACAUGGAAUAGCUCAUACUUGUUCACGAAUCUUCGGUCUAGUUGAUUCAAUUCAGGUAAAUUUUCCUGCAGCUUCUGCAUCUGUGCAUUGACAUAAAGAGUUGUGAGCUUCAGUUUAGCUGAAAUAGCUGCUAUAUUUUUAGCUUCCUUUUAGAAAAUGAAGCUGUACCUGGAAUAGAUUGUUCAUUAGAAUAUUGAUGUCUUCCCUGUGUUCUUGAAUGAUCUCUGCUAAUCUUAUCUUGCUUAUUCUUAAGAGCUGUGAAAGGGUUGCAGUGCGGCAAGUAAACGGCUGGGGUAAGUCGCACAGUGCAGCGACCUCACCAAACACGUCUCCCUCUUCGAUUUUUCCAUACACCUGCUUUCAGAUUACCAAGCCACUGUUAGUAAUCUGUGGAAACCUUACUGUCAUCUGAGAUCCCUGUGAUUUAAGAUGAAGAAAUCUUUACCUGUUCAUUCCCAUUUACAGUUGUUAUCAAAUUCUGCAGAUAAAGCAACAAGAAAGUUUAAUUAGCUGUCUGAAAAAACUGUUAAAAAUAUGUCAGAACCUAAUCAGAGAUAAAAGCUAACCACUGCUCCUGAAACUAUUACAUAAAUAUCUGCUGCCCCUUCAUUUUGCAAUAUUAUGUCUUCCGUUGGUGGGAAAUACUCAGCCUGCACUUCCAUUACCUGAUUGCAAGGAAGUUUAUCAGCUAUGGCAGUGGAGAGUAUAGUUAAUUAGAAAAUAUUAGCCAAAAUAUUGAUCAUAUUACCAGUUCUGCAAUGAAAUUGUUGGAUACUCCAUGAAAGAGGUAGGCUCGUUUUAUGACUGGAAAGAAUAAGUUGUAUGCUAUGCUUGAACGAAUUCCUUUUGGGAGUUGAUUUAGCAUGGCUUGCUGGUUGAGCCCCUCUGUCUUGAACUGUAGGCAGAAAUGAGAUAGCAUUUGCUGCUUUAUCUUCUCAGGCAACUGAUUUCGUGCCGCAAAUUCUGAAGCUGCUUGGAUUGAGUCCCUCUGCAUCAUUCACAAAAUUACUAAUAUGGAUCAAGUAAGCUAACUAUUUUUGUGAAGGGUUUAGUUAUUCUAUUUGCACUUGCUUUGACCUUUGUUGAAUAUUUUUUCUCUUGAAUUUUAUUCUUAUUUGUUGGUGUUGCUAUUACUAAGAAUGUUUGAACAACUAAAGGAUACAACAACUUGGGCUUACAACAUACAUGCAAUGACUAUCAAGAAUCAGGUUCCAUUCAUUGAUUCACGUACCUGUUUAUGUGAUUGGAAUCCUACGGCUGGGUGUUUGUGUAAGAACUUAUUAGGAUGGUCCAGUUGCAACUAUUUGACCUUUGCAGUGUAGGACCACUAAAGCUAAACGAUGUCUCUGAUUUCCUCUCAGUUUAGUAGGUGUUAUAGUGUGUAGGGUGUUGACCUCUUCAAUUCUUCAUUUUAAUCAAUGGCAUGGUAGAAGGCAGAAAAUGCGCACGAAUAACUGCAUUAUUUGUAUAAAGUUUCACAUUUCAUUUUCCCACCGAGUCACCUAUAGCUAAAAAAGCUAGGUUGUUCCUAUCUUUUUUUUUCUUGUCUCACUUAAGCUGUUGUCCUUUGAGGGAAACGAAUUGAAUUUGACAUUAAUGGGUUUUGCCAAUAAGUUAAGAAACAUACAAAAUUCUGUGUGCGGCUGGUCCCAUGAACAACCAGGUUCGUCAUAUUACCAAUAAGAUAAGCUGUCAGCCCCAGAUUAAACAGCAUAUAACAGAUAUCAAACAGCAUCUCCCUUGGGUUCUCAGCAUGUAGGUCCCCAUAACCUGUUGUUGUCAGUGUUGUGAUCGACCAGUAAAGGGCAGUGACAUAUCUAGUCCAUAAGCUCUCGGAUCUGAAAGUAGGCAUAACAGCACCUAUCCAUGUUUCUUCUGGAUCAGGAUAUCUGUCAGCAAUCAUAUAGUUGAAGCAUCCCGCACAAUGCACCGCAAACAGAGUAACCUGUGUUUUAUCACAGAUUUUUCACAUUAUUAUCAGCAGGUUUCUUUCAAUGAGGAAAGGUAAAAGCAUUUUGCAAGUUUGACAAUUUUUAAGGAAGACAUGGAAGUAAGAUCCUAAAUUUUCUGUUCCUAAAUUUCUGAAAGACUUACAGCAAUAAGUUUCGAACACCUAAUCCAGAAAUAGUUGAAUCUUAUAUCCUUCUCCAGCCUGGUAAAGGAAGGUGAUUAAAUUUGUGCCAUUUGUUAUUCAUCAUCAAAAUGUGGAGAAACUGGACUGGAUUUGAACCUGGCAAACAGCGAGCUGACUCGGUGAAGACGCCACAGCCUCAACAUGUUGAGUAUCUUAAAAGCAAGGUCAUUUCCCUUGUGUGAAAACAGAAGACUGAUUGGUUGGAAUGGAGCUGUGGAACAUACAUCAAAGAUGAACCAGGUUGAUAGGUACCUGUGGAGGAUCAUAACUUGUUAGUUCCAUAACAUAAUUACUUGGUCUUUUCUGUAUUCAAUGUGGAGUUUUGGAGAAGAAAGCAGUUAUGAACUAGGUAAGCACCUUACUGCAAUUUUCUUUCGAUCAUCCACAAGAAGAUGUGUUUUGCUGUCCACAUAAGCUACCAAGAAUGUCAAAAUAAUAUCAAUCGCAAAGAAGCCAUUGACAAUGUUCUCAACUAGCAGAAGCUUAGAGGGUAAGUCCCUCAAGAAUGCUAGUUCAAACGGGCAAAUCCAGGCAGAGUAAAUAACUAGGACUGUAAGGAACAACUCCCAGUAUCUGAGACACACAGACAAAGCAGAGGAAAGCAUGUCAGCAGCUGCUGUUUUCUCUCUCAACAUGAUAAGGAACAUACAGAGUGCAGGGAGAACCUCACCUAUAACGGGGAUCAUAUGGAGAUAUGAUGAACUUCUGCAACUUGUUAGAGUGAUUUAUUGUCGCGCCAAGAGAUGGCAGAAGCUCAAUCGUGAAGCUGUCGCUGCUCCUCUUAACUUGAGCUCCAUCCCAAAAUUGUUGGAAGCAUGACUUGGAAUGAGCUUGAGUCAUGCUUGCUUUUCUGUUCUUUCUUUGCCACUCAACUCUGUAUGCCUGAGGGUGUGUGGAUGGCUGGAUGCUGGCUCUCACUCUCUCUCAAUAUAUAUAUAUAUAUAUAUAUAUAUAUAUAUAUAUAUAUAUAUAUAUAUAUAUAUAUAUAUAUAUAUAUAUAUAUAUAUAUAUAUGCUGCAGGUGAUGAACAUGCAGGGCUGUGGGUCAAAGCGAGGAUCUUGGAAGCAAACAAGAAGCUGCUCGUAUUUGUGCCUUACGAGGAAAACAACAGGGCGCUUGUUUCCUUGGUGUUGUGGGACAACUGUUAGCUGAGCCCAGUGGGCAAAGUAUAUCACACAAAAUUCUGGAAGUGCUUUUGGCUAGUUGGUGAUCAGCUACAGCUGAAGCAGUGAAGAAUUUUUCCAGAUAAUCUUUAAUGUUGAGACUUUUGGAAUGGGGCAAGCAUCCCCAGGCUCUUCUCAACCAUUUACUCUGAUGCAGUACAAACCCUUCCUAAGUUCCUAUGGGCUGGUAUUAUCUACAUCAUCCUAGAAUAAUCUGUGGUGUGAGCUAUUUUGCUGGUGUGUUGUGUACUCUGCCCUUUUUUUCUCUCGAACGGCGCAUGAGGACUGUGCGUCAUUUCAUUUAAGAUAGAAAAAAGGAGAGAGUACAGAGGUUAGACAACCCUUGUACUCCGUACAGUUUUGUAAAGGUCGACUCUUACAAAAGAAAAACAAUCCAUGACCAUGCCCCUAGGACCUAAGGUGCCAGGGGCAUCGACCUAUCUAGGAGCUCCUUGAGUUUGGAUGCUCCUGCCAUGCACCAAAGAGCACACUCGCUGGACACAGUCUGGAGGAGCAACUGAACACUUGGACUCUGCCCUUAUUUUUAAAUGGCUGGAUGAUUUGUACUAGAUUGUGGAAAAAACUUUGCUCCCUUUUCCCAAAGAAGUAAUGAUCAUAGGUUCCCUAGUCAAAACUGGAGGAAAAGAAGAGGUAUUAUUCUCAUCAGGAAGCAACAUCCUGUAAGCUAAUUCUCAAUUUUUUCUGCAAAUGUUAACACCAUAGCUGAAACCAUCGAUGUCAUUUCUGGAGGUAAUUUGGGGUAUGCUUAUCAUGUUUGGGUAUUCUUUCUGUUGUUGAGUUCAAGUAAGCUUUGUUGUAGUGGGAUGUGGAGGAUCCAGUCCCUUGGCCAUCUAAGCUAAUUAAUGUAGAUAAAUGGUUUAUGGGCUCCUCCAAUAUAUCUUGUCAAGCCUAAUCCUUGCUUCCGUGUUCUGAUGCCUACCAUUUACUGCCACCAGACUUUAGCUGGUGCACUGAUUGGACUGGCACUGCCUGUCUUCUUGGACCAUAGAGGACUGGACAGACUGGGGCUGCAUUAUUGUGAUUUCUGUCAGAAGUUUUAGCUGUAUACAAUCUUAUUUGAAGUUCUGUCUUGUUUUCCUUUCGUGCUGAAUCAGCCAGUCGCUGUUCAGACAGUACCCACUUGAAUCUUAUGAAGGUGGGCCAGAUCAAGGUUCCAGACAGAGGAAACAAACCUUCUUAUUGAUUCACUAAUUGAUGUUAAUUUCCAUGUGCAAACUAAAUAAUUAAUGCAUGAUUAUUUUUGUGGUGAUUUUCCUGUUUGGGUAGUGCUUACUUUUGAGAAAGAUGCUCAAAUAUCAUGCAGGUUAUUAUAAUUGUGCAAACAGAGCAUUUAAGUGUGUGACAUGAGUAAGUGCUGCCUAUAUUGGUGAUAGGAUAUGCUGCUAAAUUAUAAUAGUGCAUCUUAUUUUGCGUGUCUUAUGCAAGAUUGAUCAUUCUUCUUGAACUUUGAUUACGCAGAUUGUAUUUACUGCCUUGUCAGUUCUUGUUCCGAAACUGUUAUUGUGCUAUACUUUUAUCAUAAACAUUUUAGUUUUGACAAAAGAUAAGGUGUAUGUUUGUCUUGAAGAGAGAUCAUAUUCUAUUCAAAUCUUUUGCCUGAAGUCUUGAGCUAGAGUAUAUAUGCAAAAAUAUCCUUAACUCCUUUUCCAGAAAAUAAAAGUUAUUCUGAACUUAUCAAGAAUUAGGAAACAGGAGCAGCUAAAAUUAUAAAUAUAAUCUCAUUUUAUCAGACAUUGCCACUUGUCCAUCAUAAGGAUACUGCAUGUGCUUCUUUGAAAGAGAUAGGUAUUAGACAUUCGUUAGCUAUUUGCCUAUUACUUUUCAUGGGUAUGGUGAUAGGCUAACCAUACAAGUCUCUGUCUUGUUUGUUCUCCAUUGAAAUGGGUUGCAUUCCAUCUAGGUCGUUAUUGGUCCGUCCUCUACCUGGGAUGUCAACAUUCCCCUUGCUCCUCUUUCUUUCUAGUUUGUGAACUAUUUUUAGUUGAUUCUUUUUGUAUCACACCGUUUGUAAUCUCUAUGCUUACAAACUUGUCUGAGUCUGCUCUAUGAAUUGUCGAAUUCAUAGUGAUAAUUUUUUUAAUUAUUUCAUAUCAAGAAAUUAAGCUCAACUGCAUUUUGCAUGGACUUGCUCAACACUUUCUUUUUUGCAAACUGUUCUAUAAACAAGUAAACUGCAGUCAGGCCAUGGACAGGCUUUUGCAUAGGCUGUUUUGUACACACUGUGGUGUUAAUAAAUUUUGCACAGAUGGUACUACACUUUUUCAGUACUUGUGUAUCCCGAACUGGCCGCUUUUCUGGAUAAUUGAAGCGAUCCCAGGACCAAAGUUUAGCCCUAUCCUUGUGUUCUCUUGUGUUUCUAACAUCUUCUGUUGGAAUGUACCCUGCAUUAUCACUGGUGACCAUGUGACGGUGGGGAGCUAUGAAGUGGCGGUCCUUGCACACAUGUGCAUGCAUGUGUCGAUUUCCUCUUUUCUCAUUGCAUCUUUCAAAUAGGUAUGAUGUAUCUUGACUCUUUCUUCUUGUUGGAGACCUUUGAGAGGGAGCUCACCCUCAUAAUGAGCUAGUGGCAAGGUUAUUGCAAUUAUGCUCAAACAUCAGUGGGAGCGGUCUCACAUGGGUAGUACCAUUCCGACAUAGAACAUUCUGAUUAGAUCUCAAUGGGAUCUGAUUGUAGUUUAGAUUCAACUUGUUAGUUGGUGAAUUACCUCGCCGGCGUUUAGCUGUUGCUAAAUCCAGAUAAAGUGAUAAUUACUUCUCAAUUGUUAGAUGUUGAGUGUUAAAUUCCUGUAGAUUAGUUGGUUUAGAUUUUUAAAUCACCAGUGCAUCAGUUCCAUUCUGACUAGUCAUUUCCAGCGAGCUCUUCUUCCUCUUUAGAUUCUGCACUUUUGCUUGGUCUUAUCUAAUCCUGUUGCUCUGAGCACUGUUGCUCCAUUAUCAGCAUUUUGGAAUCACUGUUUGCCCAUAAGAGCAUACCUUCUAUGUUCCUUUUUCUGUAUCAUGAUUCUAUUUGAUAACCAGUGUAGUUGAUAUAUAUUUUAAAUUUGAAUAUUCGCAGUGGCUUCUAGUAAUUCUACCUUCUGCUAUCUUUUUUCUGACAAUAAUUGGGUCUCUAAUUUGUUCAUUUUCAUGGUUCAGCAGAUAUCUCAAAUUCUGGGCAGGCAUAUAUUUGCCGGUUUCGCAAGGUCCUAUUCGGAGUACAAGUUCUCUCAAGUAGAUGAGGUGGAAUUCGCUAGUAGAUGAGGUGGAAUUGGCAAAGGUGAUGGUGCCGCAGAAAACGAAAUGAUACCCAUGAACAUUUGCGGGAGCGCAAUGAUAAGGUGAAAUGGGCGGCUCAAUUCCGGCGGUACCUUCCCCUUAACUAGUACGUUGAUUCGUUCGCUCCUUUUUUCUGUGGCCAGGAACACUACGUCGUUACUGCUUAUUUUAGUGGUUUAGAGAUGACCCCAUUAUGCGCAUGACGUUUCAAACA